rnacentral:rRNA from 1 species
AUGGACAGGAAGAGGGUGGGCAUUGUUGGUGCUGGUGUGAGCGGCCUAGCAGCCUGCAAGCACGCGCUAGACAAGGGGUUCAGCCCGGUGGUAUUCGAGGCCGAUGACACCAUUGGUGGAGUAUGGGCGCAUACCUUGGAGUCGACGAGGCUUCAGGCGCCUACGACUUCGUUCCGUUUCUCAGACCUGGCAUGGCCUGCAAGCGUGACAGCGACGUACCCAGGCCACCAGGAAGUCAUGGAGUACAUCAGGUCGUACGUGUGCGAGUUUGACCUCCUCAAGUGUAUCAAGUUCAGUAGUCAGGUGUUGGGAGUUGAAUACCUUGGUGCAACUGAGGAAGAGAUCAUGGAGUGGGAGCAUUGGUCUGGCAAUGGGACGGCAUUCGGAGCUGGCAAGGAUGGAAGGUGGAGCAUCACAGUGAAGGACCUGAAAAUUGGUCAUGUUGAGGUUUUUCAAGUGGAUUUUCUCAUACUGUGCAUCGGAAGGCAUAGUGGGACCCCAAAUAUCCCGGAAUUUCCAGCUAAUAAAGGGCCCGAGUUGUUCAAGGGGAAAAUAUUGCACUCUAUAGACUACUCUUACAUGGAUAAUGUGGCUGAAUUUGUUAAGGGGAAGAGUGUGACAAUAAUUGGGUCCGGAAAAUCAGCAUUUGACAUCGCUGCGGAGGUUGCUAAGGUGAAUGGUGCUGAUCAGCCAUGCACCAUGAUAUAUAGAACGAGGCACUGGCUGGUUGAUAAAUCCAGCAUAUGGGGAAUUAACCUUAGUUACUUCUAUCUUAACCGCAUCUCGCAAGUACUUGUUCAUAAACCUGGUGAAGGAUUUCUGCACUAUUUAUUGGCUAGUGCACUCUCUCCCUUGAGAUGGGCAAUUACAAAAGUAAUUGAAACCUACUUCAAGCAAAGGAUUCCUCUAGAAAAGCAUGGGAUGGUACCUGACUACAGCUACUCCUUCGCCAUGUCUUCUUGCUUGAUUGCAUUACUCCCAGAAGGGUUUUAUGACAGGGUUGAUGAGGGCAGCAUUAUUCUUAAGAAAUCCAAGAAGUUCAGCUUCUGCAGUAAUGGGAUUAUCAUGGACGAUGGAAAUGAAUGCAUAAACAGUGAUAUUGUAAUUCUAGCAACAGGAUUCAGAGGAGACCAGAAGCUUAGGGACAUCUUCACAGCAAACUGGUGUAGAAAUAUAGUGGUUGGAUCAUCAGAUACAUCAGUUCCUUUAUAUAGAGAAUGCAUCCAUCCUCGGAUUCCUCAGUUGGCAAUAGUCGGAUACUCCGAGAGCCUUACAAACAUAUAUGCCUCGGAGAGGAUGGCCAAUUGGGUAAUCCAUUUCCUAGCUGGCGGCUUCCAGUUGCCAAGCGUAAGAUGCAUGGAAGAGAAUGUAACAGAGUGGGCAAAGUACAAGGAUCUUUACAAUGGAAAGUAUUUCCGCAGAUCUUGCAUAAGCACCGUGAAUAUUUGGUUUAAUGAUCUGUUGUGCCAAGACAUCGGAUGCAACCCUAGAAGGAAGAAAGGAUUCCUGGCUGAAUGGUUCCAGCCAUAUGGACCUGCUGAUUAUGCAGGUAUUUGCUGA